CACGUAGGGCGCAAGCGUUGUCCGGAAUUAUUGGGCGUAAAGAGCUCGUAGGCGGUCUGUUGCGUCCGCUGUGAAAACUCGGGGCUUAACCCCGAGCCUGCAGUGGAUACGGGCAGACUAGAGGUAGGUAGGGGAGAAUGGAAUUCCUGGUGUAGUGGUGAAAUGCGUAGAGAUCAGGAGGAACACCGGUGGCGAAGGCGGCCUACUGGGCCAGCACUGACGCUGAGGCGCGAAAGCGUGGGGAGCGAACAGG
rnacentral:rRNA from 1 species